GUAGGUUACGCUUAUUAUUAUUAAUUAAUAACCUAUGCAACAUAUUUAAGUUUGUUUUCCUAUGAAAUAGAUGAGAUAUUUUCUGAUGUGGACGGGAUUUCUCUUUUGUUUUUUCGUUGACUUAUAUAAGACAAGCCGUCAGGCCCUGAGAAAAACUUAAACUAAUAUAUAUAAAGCUGAAAUGCAUUAUAAGUUAGUUUUUAAAAAAGAAAAAGAACCGCUUCCAAGUGAAAUUUUACCGUUAAUUUAUGUACUAUGCACAUCGAUUGAGGAAAAUCCGGCCAUAUUAAUAACAGAUAUUGCUGAAAUCAACAACAGCAACCUCCAUGAAAUCGUUCAAGGGGCUGAGGGGUUGAUUCUUAUGCUGCUUAUAAGUAAUUUAUAGCUAUGAAUAUUAAUCAUAAUUAAUUCAAUUUCUAGUUAUUCCCUUGGAAUAAAUGAAUAAAAAGGU